rnacentral:lncRNA from 1 species
GAGAUCAAUAAGUGGUAGCUAGUCAUACUUACUAUCAGUAUGACUGAGGCCUCAGACUGUUCAUUGAAACAUAAAGUCAGUAAAUUAUUUCUAAGACCUCUUUCAAGUUCUGGGUCUAAUUUUUUAUGUUUAUAACAUGAAGAUAAUUCAACUUCACUUGUACCCCCAAUGGCCUGGCUCUUAUAGCAUUUCUUUGCUGUUUUAAAAAUGGGAGCCAACCCAAAUGUCCAUCAAUGAUAGAGUGUAUAAAGAAAAUGUGGCCCAUAUACACCAUGGAAUACUAUACAGCCAUAAAAAAGAAUGAGUUCAUGUUCUUUGCAGGGACAUGGAUGAAGCUGGAAACCAUCAUUCUCAACAAACUAACACAGGAACAGAAAACCAAACAUCGCAUGUUUUCACUCAUAAGUGGGAGCUGAACCAUGAGAACACAUGGACACAGGGCAGGGAACAUCACACACUGGGGCCUGUCAGGGGGUGGGGGACAAGGGGAGGGAGGGCAUUAGGACCAGUACCUAAUACGUGUGGGACUUACAAUCUAGAUGACGGGUUAAUGGGUGCAGCAAACCACCAUGGCACAUGUAUACCUAUGUAACGAAUCUGCACGUUCUGCACAUGUAUCCCAGAACUUAAAGUAAAAUUUAAAAACAACAACAACAAAAAAAAGAUGGGCUAAGCUGGACACAGUGGCACACACCUGUACUCCCAGCUACUUGGGAGGGUGAAGUGGAAGGAUCCCUUCAUCCCAGAAGUUUGAGACCAGCUUGGGCAACAUAGCAAGACUCUGAACAAUAGAUGGGCUAAUGUAAAUGUGGUCUUAGAAAGCAAAACAACAAGCCAGGUUCAGUGGCACAUACCUGUAGUCCCAGCUAUUCAGGAGGCUGAGGCAAGAGGACUGCUUGAGCCUAGGAGCUCAAGGCUGCAGUGAGCUAUGAUCAAGCCACUGCACUCUAACCUGGGCAACAGAGCAGUACGCCAUCUGUAAAGAAAAAUGCAAAACAAAACAAAGAACAUUAAAACCGAAACCAUGUGGGCCCUAAUUUGCCUGCUGAUGUUUCUGCUUGCAUUGUGAAUUCACUCAGUCCUUGGCUUUUCUGAGUCUCUUCUGCUUGUGUCUUCAGGCCUGUGGAGUUAAAACCAGUGUGUUCAGGCUACAGAUUCUGCAAAGGAAAGCAGAAAUCUAAGUUAGAGGCUCUUUUCUGUGAGUUAAGAGUGUGUUGCUAGAACCCUAUUUAGGCUUGGAACAUUUUGAUUCUUCAUGUGGAAAUUUGUCCCAAAAUUGCCACUUCACUGAGGAGAUAAAAGCUGCUUUAAGAGAGCAGCUUGAAUACUUUUUCUGUUCAUAGGACAAGGCAUGGUUGGGCCCAGUCUAGGGAAAGAGGUAAAAUGAUAAAAAGUGUUUUUUUGAGAUUUAGUGACAGGAAUGCCCAUUGUCAAGCUAGCUUGGAGCUUUAAGCCUCUGCCCUUAACACUCUACCACAUCAAUUCAGAAAAGGAUUUGCUAUGGGUGGGGUGUGGCCCCAAACUCUCAUCUGUGGAAACAGGACCUCAAUGACUUUGUGUGUUCAAAGAAUGGACUUUGGGUUUCCUUCCAGCAUCUGAUUGUGGCAUGUAGUAGUGGUUCUUGGGGCUGCCUCUCUGACUCCCUGUCAGUCCCUCAGCCUUUGUCCAGGAAGCGGCUCCCAGCUUCUUUCCUGGAAGCACUUUUGCACCAAGUCAAGGGGCCUCUCUCAUCUCCCCGCAGCCCAAGCCCCUCCCAGAGCCAGGGGUGGUUUUAGCAUUUGCUUACGGUUUUUCAUCUUUGCUCCUUGUUCCUGGAUACCCUCUCCUAAUUUUAGAAGUGUGUCUUCUCCUAUCAGUGGAUGCAGCCCAGUGGAAUUCCGUGGGGAUACAAAAAUAGUUGCAGGAUGGGGAGUAUCACUUUUUGGUUGGUGUUUCUAUGCAAUAACAAAUGAGAAAUUUAAAUAAGCAAAAAAAACCUGCCUAAUCAAUUGAACUGCUGGGGAGUAGAGAUCACAUAUUGCUCAUUUUUGAAUCCCAGGUGCUUGGCACAAAGUACGUGCUCAGCACAUUAUUUGUUGAAUGAAUCCAUCUUAGUUUUCUUCCUUCUUCAGAGAGGUGCUCUGACAUGCAUUAAGUUUAAACGUGGUUGCACAAACAAAGUUGGAAGAUGUUUCUGCUUCAUAAUAGCUGUCAUGAGUCAUGUCCAAUAAAAACGUCCUGGGAUCAGGAGGAAAAGGACACACAGUCCAGAUCCAGCUCAGCCAUCACCCAGGCAGCCCCAGGGUCUUCAGCCUCCCUGUGCCUCGGUGUCCUCCACUGCAACAAGAAGGUCAUAAUUUCUGUUCUGCCUCCCUCACAGCUGGUUAUGAGAAUGUGGCAAGAACAGACAUGAAGAGAUCAUACUGGAGGUCCUACUUUUAUUGUCAUUAUUAUUACUACAUGUAAUUGUAGAGUUGAAGUGCUCAUAAUUAUUUUUUACUACCUCAAUCUCUUUUCUUCUCCAUGAGCCUUCAAGGACCAAAGCCAGGUUUACCUCCUACCUCAGCUGAAGAAAUGUCCAUCCUGGUGAGGACUUCUUGCAGCUCGACCAUCUGCUUGCUCAGCAAACAUUUUCUGCAUCACAGGUGGAGACUGAAAAGUUAAGUUGUGGAAGACUAGCUAAAAAACAGUUGUUUGCUGACACAGUUCCUGUGCUUGAAGCUACUCAGAGCAGAAACAGUAGGGUCUUCUCACCCAGAGACUAUGCUCCCCAACAGAAACCUUGAACCAGCUAGAGAGCUCUCAGCCCCAGUUCUGCCCAGAACAGGCCCAGGAGGUGAGGAGAUUUGUUAGGGGCAGCCAGCCAGGGGCCAGCAGAGAGGCCAGGAACCGAAGCCUCCUGAUUCCAGGCCGGUUUUUACUUUACUCCCCAUGCCUCUCAGUGGGGGCAUUGGUAGGUGGUGCUUUGCUUCCUCUUGUGUCUCGGUGCAGAUGCUGUUGCUAAGGUAACCGGGUAAGCAUAAAACAGAAACAGCCCAUAGGGUCUUGCUGCCUCCACCUGUGUGUCCAGACAGUUUCCCAUCCCGGCCAGAGAGACACAGUCAGGCUUAUUGAUCCAGGCUGAGCAUGUGUGUUGGAGCCUGGAGAGAAACGCCUGAUCUGUGUGGCAGCCUGUAUUCUCUGAACAUUCUUCCUGGGCAUGGUUUUAGACAAGAUGUUAAAGAUGGAGACAGAUGAUGAGGAAUUGAAAUUGCUUUAGUAUACCAGUUGUCAGUGUGACAUGGCUAAAACUGUCCAGGGCCUGGGUUCUUGACAUAUCCUUGGUUUAUUCAGGGCAUCUGUAGAAUAAGAGGGCUGAAAGUACGGCCUCAACUCUGAAUUCUGUGUCUAGCUUUCCUGUUGUACCCCAAGAUGGAACCCUCCAACUUUCAGACAAGGGACUUUCUUAAAGAGCUAUGUGAUACUGUGUGGCUGAUUUUCUCUUGUUCCUGGGAAGGGUUAGCUAAUUAGUGUGUUAACCAGGGUCUUCCUUACCUCUUUUUCUUAACCCUUCCCUUAGUAGGCCCACCAGGGUUGGUCCCAAAGGAGAGAGGAGAGAACAUAAAUGAGCCAGUUUGGCUGCAGUGACAGCUCACAAGAUGGUCAGAUCAUGGAGAGGGACUGAAAUUCAGUCUAAGCUGCAGAAAAGGAGGAGAAGCGAGUACAAUUCCUUCAUUUCCAACUUUAAGUGGCCCCUGGGAGAAGCAAAGCAUGUCCACAUUAAGGCUGGACCUCACUUAGGGACUCCCUGGCUUAGGAUCUCACUGUGACUACAUCCCCAGUUUCUUUGGGGUGCACGUUGGAAGAGGCAGAUCGGUCCUGGUAGCUGGUCAUAGAACGGUGGCCUUUUGAGAUCUGAGAGAAGCAUGAGAUGCUGCAGGGGGCUAGAAACCCAAACCUUGAAAUAUGAAAUCUGCCACCCUUACAGGGGACCACACACACUAACUCAGCCCCUCUCAACAGACACACAAACUUACCACCCACUUUCCAGGCAAAUGCAACAGCCAGCUGCUCCCUACAUGUCCUUUGCUUUUCUACCACUGUCCAUUGCCACCUCUCUCCACUUAGCAACAUCUAUCUUAGACAGGAUACAUUGGUUGCAAGUUCAGAACCCAACUCAUAUGAGCUAGGGAAAAGGAGGGCACAGCUGAUAUUUGGGAAUAUCUGGAGUCAGGGGCUCAGAGUUCACGACAACUCUCCCACUCCCACUCUCACCUCUUCUCUCCACUUCUCUCCAGGUGCCUAUUUCAUUCUCUCUCAUGGCAUACUGAUUUCGUCCACAUUGCAGGAAACACGGCUGCCCAAAUCCCUCCCUGCCACACCCACAUACAGGAACCUCCUGAAUUUAACCUCUUUAGGCUUUCACUAAAGAUAUUGCCAGCUUUAAAUCUGAAAAUCCCAGGCCCAAUUCAACAAAGUUUCUCCAGAAUCCUCUUCAGCUCCACCUGGACUGGAAAUAGCCUUCUCCUCUUCUCCACCCUUCCAGUGUCUUCACCUGUACCUCCCCGUGCACUGAACACCUGUUGACCACGUGGUCACUAUUUGAAUAACUUUUCCUAUACAAAUACUAAUGUGUGUCACUGAAGAAAAAAAUUGGAAACAUAAAUAAAUAAAGAGAAUAAAAUAAAAACCACUCAUAACUGCCAUCUGGAGAUAAUCACUUAGCAUUUGGGGGUGUUAGCAGCUGUUAGAUUGAUGUCUUUUUUUCUCUGCCUACAUUCAGCCCUUCAACAUCUCACCUCUCUGUGCUCCCCCAGAAUCACCACAGUGCUUCCCAU